rnacentral:rRNA from 1 species
CUACGGGGGGCUGCAGUCGAGAAUAGUCUACAAUGGGGGAAACCCUGAUAGUGCGACGCCGCGUGAACGAAGAAGCUUUUCGGAGUGUAAAGUUCUUUUCUGUAUGAGCAAUGCUUUAUUGUUUAAGAGAUAAUAGAGAGAGAUAUUAGUACAGGAAUAAGCCACGGCUAACUCCGUGCCAGCAGCCGCGGUAAUACGGGGGUGGCAAGCGUUGUCCGGAAUUACUAGGCGUAAAGGGCAGGUAGGCGGAUAUUCAAGUCAGGCGUUAAAGGCAUCAGCUCAACUGGUGUACGGCGUUUGAAACUGGAUAUCUAGAGUCAGGUAGAGGUAGAUGGAAUUCCUAGUGUAGCGGUGGAAUGCGCAGAGAUUAGGAAGAACACCAAAGGCGAAGGCAAUCUACUGGGCCAUGACUGACGCUAAACUGCGAAGGUGUGGGUAUCAAACAGGAUUAGAUACCCCAGUAGUC